rnacentral:sRNA from 1 species
CAACCCUGCGGAGUGCUCAGGUCCGCCGCAUCUCCUGGGUCCGUGGGGUUUGGCCGGUGGGUGAGCGUGUUCGGGAGGCCUCCCCGUUCGCUCCCCACCGGCCAGCCAC